AAGUCGUAACAAGGUUUCCGUAGGUGAACCUGCGGAAGGAUCAUUAUUGAAUAAACUUGGUUUAGAACUGUUGCUGGCUCUUUGGAGCAUGUGCACGUCUAUUCCAAUUUUAUAAACCCACCUGUGCACAUUGUGUAGAUCUGAAUAACAUUUUCAAGUUAUUAAAAACUUGGUUAAAGAGAAUUGCUGUAGCUAUAAUAAUGCUUCAGCUUUUCUUUGCAUUUUCAGAUCUAUGUUUUUAUUAUACUCCAUUGAAAAGUAUUAGAAUGUUUAUAGUUUAGGCAUUGCAUGUCUAAUAAAAUAUAUACAACUUUCAACAACGGAUCUCUUGGCUCUU
rnacentral:misc_RNA from 1 species